AUUGAACGCUGGCGGCAGGCCUAACACAUGCAAGUCGAACGGUAACAGGGAUCAGCUUGCUGAUUCGCUGACGAGUGGCGGACGGGUGAGUAAUGUCUGGGAAACUGCCUGAUGGAGGGGGAUAACUACUGGAAACGGUAGCUAAUACCGCAUAACGUCGCAAGACCAAAGAGGGGGACCUUCGGGCAUCUUGCCAUCGGAUGUGCCCAGAUGGGAUUAGCUAGUAGGUGGGGUAACGGCUCACCUAGGCGACGAUCCCUAGCUGGUCUGAGAGGAUGACCAGCCACACUGGAACUGAGACACGGUCCAGACUCCUACGGGAGGCAGCAGUGGGGAAUAUUGCACAAUGGGCGCAAGCCUGAUGCAGCCAUGCCGCGUGUAUGAAGAAGGCCUUCGGGUUGUAAAGUACUUUCAGCGGGGAGGAAGGGAGUAAAGUUAAUACCUUUGCUCAUUGACGUUACCCGCAGAAGAAGCACCGGCUAACUCCGUG
rnacentral:rRNA from 1 species